rnacentral:rRNA from 1 species
GGAAUAUUGGACAAUGGGCGAAAGCCUGAUCCAGCAAUGCCGCGUGAGUGAUGAAGGCCCUAGGGUUGUAAAGCUCUUUUACCCGGGAUGAUAAUGACAGUACCGGGAGAAUAAGCCCCGGCUAACUCCGUGCCCGCAGCCGCGGUACAACGGAGGGGGUUAGCGUUGUUCGGAAUUACUGGGCGUAAAGCGCACGUAGGCGGCUUUGUAAGUUAGAGGUGAAAGCCCGGAGCUCAACUCCGGAAUUGCCUUUAAGACUGCAUCGCUAGAACGUUGGAGAGGUAAGUGGAAUUCCGAGUGUAGAGGUGAAAUUCGUAGAUAUUCGGAAGAACGCCAGUGGCGAAGGCGACUUACUGGACAACUGUUGACGCUGAGGUGCGAAAGCGUGGGGAGCAA